rnacentral:lncRNA from 1 species
UGUAUUUGAUGUUCUUUUAUCAUUUCAUUUAAAAAGUUAUGAUAGCCUGAUGAUGGUGGAAACCUCCACCCAAAAACGUUUGCAAGAAAAUAAAGUCUAUUAAAAUAAUAACUGCUAAAGUGUGCUAGUUUGUUGGUUUUAUUGAUUACCUUAACAAAGUAAAGCAGUUAAAGGAAGAUAUGGAUUAUAGAGAGCUGAGCCAGCUCCGUAAGGAGUACAUUAAAACUAACAGGAAACGAUUGAGACCAUUCAAAACAAUGAAAUUUCUAGAAGAAUAUAGAGUUAACCAGGUCUUCCCACUGACUAUAGACAACAUUAAAUUAGCACUUUUUUUAGAUUUUAUUGGUAACAAAUCCAAAGAAAAUCUAUCUGAAGGUAACUUUAUCCGAUGCAAAGAUCAAACAUUAUGAUAAAACAUGAUAAAACAUUGAGUACUAUGCUACUUAACAUCAUAUUUAUUUAUAUAUUUAUUAUUAAAGUUAAGUAAUGUAGAGUACUAUAAAACAUUGAGGCUAGAAAUGAUCUAUAGGGAUCAAGUUGUGCAAUAGCAAGAUGCAAAGCAGUUUAUGAAUAUGAUAGAAAAACAGGGGGGAAACUA